AUGCGGUUGUCUUACGUUUGGGAAGGAGAACAGAAGGAGUUAGGAAGACAACAAGCACCUGGUGCUUGUCCAUUCUGUGGUGGCAAAGUUGUAGCCAUGGAUGUUGAGGUUCAAUCCAAGCUCUGUUUCUUACCCAUGUGUUUUCAAAUCAAGAGAAAAUAUUCUUGUACUCUUUGUUCUAGACGUUUACAAGUUUUGUAUGAUAAUGCUUAA